UAACUCAGCUGUUGUUCACCUUGUGCAUAGGUGCUGCCUGUAAGUAAAAACAGCCAAAUGAUUACAUUCACUUUUCAAAAUGGCUGUGUCGCUACUCUUCGGACAAGUGGGACAGAACCAAAGAUAAAGUAUUAUGCAGAGAUGUGUGCAUCCCCCAAGCAGAGCGACACUGCCUUCCUAGAAGAGGAAUUGAGGAAACUCAUUGAAGCUCUGAUUGAGAAUUUUCUUGAGCCCAGUAAAAAUGGACUGAUCUGGCGUUCUACGCCAUGACUUUGCACUGGCACGUAGAACAGAACAACCCGGAACUCCAUGCGUUGAAGUCAUGUUAGCGUUCUCUAUCUCAUCUGGCCAAGUACCUUUGUACUUUGAUUUGCUUUCCUUUGGUCGGCUGACGCAACAAACUGUAUAAAUUCGAAAGGAAAUGGUCUUGAGAGAAAGGAUUCAAAUUUUUUCAUAAUCUUGAACAAAUGUCAUUGCAUUGAAAGUAUUCUCGUAACGCCUUGUUCUUCCUUUAACAGAAAAAAAAAAAAAACCAAUACAUAAGUGAGUUUUCUUAUUGAAGUGUGAUUAAGCUUAGUUCCAUUAUUGUAAUUGUGUAUAGCACGGUUUUUUUUAAAAGGCAGAUAAAUGUUAUAUAGUUAUAGAGUUAGUUAAGGAAAUUAGUCUAUAAAAUUGACAAGAAAAUGGCAUUGCUGCCAGCAUAGUAUGGGAAAGGGUCAUUAUUACGUCAUAGGUAUUAACUUAAAAAAGUGUAGAGUAUUUGAAAUCGGGUAUUAGCAUUUCUAGCUUAGAACAGAUGUUACCAUAUGUGGUUUCAGGUGCUCUUGGUGCAGUGUAAAUUUAUUGUAUGUAUUUAAAAUUCUGACGUUUACCAAACGUGAAACAAUAGUGGCCAUGCUCCUAGUGGCUUCGUUCUUGUCAGAUUUCUUGGUGCCUUCUCAGGGUAUGGUGUGAAUUAAAACAGUGUUCCUGCAUGGAAUAUGAUUUAGUCAGUUAAUUUUCAGACAGUUAUUUCAGACCAAACUAUGUAGGUGCUUCCCCUCUAUAUCAGAUCAGUUUGCCCCUUUAAAAAUCUUAGGAAUGUAAAUAAAAAUCCUAAUAAAAUCAGACUCAAUGUAA